rnacentral:rRNA from 1 species
CCUACGGGAGUCAGCAGUGAGGAAUAUUGGUCAAUGGGCGGAAGCCUGAACCAGCCAAGUAGCGUGAGGGAUGAAUGCCCUACGGGUCGUAAACCGCUUUUGCACGGGGAUAACACCCUCCACGUGUGGAGGUCUGCAGGUACCGUGCGAAUAAGGGACGGCUAAUUCCGUGCCAGCAGACGCGGUAAUACGGAAGGCCCGAGCGUUAUCCGGGUUCAUUGGGCUUAAAGGGAGCGUAGGCGGGCGUUCAAGUCAGCUGUAAAAUCGCGCGGCUCAACCGCGCCCCGCAGUUGAAACUGGCUGCCUUGAGUUGACAACAGGCAGGCGGAAUUCGUGGUGUAGCGGUGAAAUGCAUAGAUAUCACGAGGAACCCCGAUUGCGAAGGCAGCCUGCCGGGGUGCGACUGACGCUGAGGCUCGAAGGUGCGGGUAUCAAACAGGAUUAGAUACCCUGGUAGUC